rnacentral:hammerhead_ribozyme from 1 species
GUCUAGCUGACAAGUCCCAAAUAAGAUGACACGCGUGUCCUGGAU